rnacentral:snRNA from 1 species
AUACUUCCCUGGCAGGGGAGGUACCAUGAUCACGAAGGUGGUUUUCCCAGGGUGAGGCUUAUCCAUUGCACCCCUGUGAUUUCCCAAAAUUCGGGAAACUAAACUGCAUAAUUUGUGGUAGUGGGGGGGGCUGCAUUCACACUCUCCCCUG